UCUCAGCUAAGUGUAAUACAACUGUGACAUUGAUCUGCUCUAUGUUGUUAGCUAUAUAAACUGCAUUGUACUGUAUAUAACCGUAUCCUUCAAAGUGGAUUCGAAUAUUCGAAACAUAAUGUUGGCAUGAUUUUAGUGCAUUCAUUAUUGCAUCGAAAGAUUAAUUUUUGACGUCGUCGUGUCAACAACUGCCGUAAAAUGAGCAGAGAAAUUGAAUAACGCGCGUUAGCGCAGUAUAAGAAUUUGUCUACCCAACUGAUGACAGGUAUUGUCAAAACCUGCCGUCAGGUGUCAGGUGAGUAAACAAACUGAAGAACGCUCGUUAGCGCGUCAUGAUCAUUUUUCUACUCAACUGAUGGCAGUUAUUGGCAGUUAUUGACACGACGGCGUCAAAAAUACAAGGUAAGUUUUAAAGCUAAUAUUUACAUUCCCUAAUUGAUGAAAUCAAUAAUUUUAUUAAAAAUAUUCGAUGUAAAUUGCAGAUCACGGAGGUAAUAAAUAAGUAACAGCAAAGGCGUUAUUGUCUAGAACCGGUUUAAACCGAUUAUUUCUUACUGUUGAGAUGAGUCGUGAAAAGAAAAAUAACACUUAUCAUUUGCUUAAAACAAUACACUGUACAAUCAACUUUAUUGUUGAAUAAUUGUAAAACACCAUGUCUUAACAACAUUUAUAAAAUAAAAAAUAAAAAGUUAAAUCAAUUAUCAAAGAUAAUUGAGCGAUCUGUAUACAUUGAAUAAAAUCAGAAAAGUU
rnacentral:misc_RNA from 1 species